GACGAGGGGUCCUAGCGUUGUUCGGAAUCACUGGGCGUAAAGCGUAUGUAGGCGGCCUGUUAAGUCAGUUGUGAAAUCCCACGGCUCAACCGUGGAAUUGCAAUUGAAACUGGCGGGCUUGAGUGCAGGAGAGGUUGGUAGAAUACCUGGUGUAGUGGUGAAAUACGUAGAUAUCAGGUGGAAUACCGGUGGCGAAGGCGGGUCUCUGGGCCGAUACUGACGCUGAGGAGCGAAAGCGUGGGGAGCGAACAGG
rnacentral:rRNA from 1 species